rnacentral:rRNA from 1 species
CAGUAGCCGCGGUAAUACGAAGGGUGCAAGCGUUAAUCGGAAUUACUGGGCGUAAAGCGUGCGUAGGCGGUGAGUUAAGUCUGCUGUGAAAUCCCCGGGCUCAACCUGGGAAUGGCAGUGGAUACUGGCUCGCUAGAGUGUGUCAGAGGAUGGUGGAAUUCCCGGUGUAGCAGUGAAAUGCGUAGAGAUCGGAAGGAACAUCUGUGGCGAAGGCGACUAUCUGGGCCAACACUGACACUGAGGCACGAAAGCGUGGGGAGCAAACAGGAUUAGAUACCCGUGUAGUCCCUGUCUCUUAUAC